UGCACUCAGAAAACCUUUACCUAGCAGGGAC
rnacentral:piRNA from 1 species